rnacentral:rRNA from 1 species
AACCAGCUCUUCAAGUGGUCGGGAUGAUUAUUGGGCUUAAAGUGUCCGUAGCUGGUUUAGAAAGUUCCUGGUAAAAUCAGGUAGCUUAACUAUCUGUAUGCUAGGAAUACUACUAUACUAGAGGGCGGGAGAGGUCUGAGGUACUACAGGGGUAGGGGUGAAAUCUUAUAAUCCUUGUAGGACCACCAGUGGCGAAGGCGUCAGACUGGAACGCGCCUGACAGUGAGGGACGAAAGCCAGGGGAGCAAACCGGAUUAGAUACCCCCGUA